GAUGAACGCUGGCGGCGUGCCUAAUACAUGCAAGUCGAGCGAACAGAUGAGGAGCUUGCUCCUCCGACGUUAGCGGCGGACGGGUGAGUAACACGUGGAUAACCUACCUAUAAGACUGGGAUAACUUCGGGAAACCGGAGCUAAUACCGGAUAAUAUAUUGAACCGCAUGGUUCAAUAGUGAAAGACGGUUUUGCUGUCACUUAUAGAUGGAUCCGCGCCGCAUUAGCUAGUUGGUAAGGUAACGGCUUACCAAGGCGACGAUGCGUAGCCGACCUGAGAGGGUGAUCGGCCACACUGGAACUGAGACACGGUCCAGACUCCUACGGGAGGCAGCAGUAGGGAAUCUUCCGCAAAGGGCGAAAGCCUGACGGAGCAACGCCGCGUGAGUGAUGAAGGUCUUCGGAUCGUAAAACUCUGUUAUUAGGGAAGAACAAAUGUGUAAGUAACUAUGCACGUCUUGACGGUACCUAAUCAGAAAGCCACGGCUAACUACGUG
rnacentral:rRNA from 1 species